rnacentral:tRNA from 1 species
GCCUCUGUAGUUCAGUUGGUUAGAGCGCUGCACCGGAAUCGCAGGGCCGUAGGUUCAAUUCCUACCAGAGGAC